CGCGUAGGCGGUUCGAUAAGUCAGAUGUGAAAGCCCGGGGCUUAACCCUGGAAGUGCAUUUGAAACUGUCGAACUUGAGUAUGGGAGAGGGAAGUGGAAUUCCUGGUGUAGAGGUGAAAUUCGUAGAUAUCAGGAGGAACACCGGUGGCGAAGGCGACUUCCUGGACCAAUACUGACGCUGAGGCGCGAAGGCGUGGGUAGCAAACA
rnacentral:rRNA from 1 species